rnacentral:rRNA from 1 species
GACCUCGGAUCAGGUAGGGAUACCCGCUGAACUUAAGCAUAUCAAUAAGCGGAGGAAAAGAAACCAACAGGGAUUGCCUCAGUAACGGCGAGUGAAGCGGCAACAGCUCAAAUUUGAAAUCUGGCCCUUGGGUCCGAGUUGUAAUUUGCAGAGGAUGUUUCGGGCGUGGUCCGGUCUAAGUUCCUUGGAAUAGGACGUCAUAGAGGGUGAGAAUCCCGUAUGCGACUGGGUGCCUAAGCUCAUGUGAAACUCCUUCGACGAGUCGAGUUGUUUGGGAAUGCAGCUCUAAAUGGGUGGUAAAUUUCAUCUAAAGCUAAAUAUUGGCCAGAGACCGAUAGCGCACAAGUAGAGUGAUCGAAAGAUGAAAAGCACUUUGGAAAGAGAGUUAAAUAGCACGUGAAAUUGUUGAAAGGGAAGCGCUUGCAAUCAG